rnacentral:rRNA from 1 species
UUGAACGCUGGCGGCAUGCUUUACACCUGCAAGUCGAACGGUAACAGGCCGCAAGGUGCUGACGAGUGGCGAACGGGUGAGUAAUGCAUCGGAACGUGCCCAGUCGUGGGGGAUAACUACUCGAAAGAGUAGCUAAUACCGCAUACGAUCUAUGGAUGAAAGCGGGGGACCGUAAGGCCUCGCGCGAUUGGAGCGGCCGAUGUCAGAUUAGGUAGUUGGUGGGGUAAAGGCUCACCAAGCCAACGAUCCGUAGCUGGUCUGAGAGGACGACCAGCCACACUGGGACUGAGACACGGCCCAGACUCCUACGGGAGGCAGCAGUGGGGAAUUUUGGACAAUGGGCGCAAGCCUGAUCCAGCAAUGCCGCGUGCAGGAAGAAGGCCUUCGGGUUGUAAACUGCUUUUGUACGGAACGAAACGGCUCUGGUUAAUACCCGGGGCUAAUGACGGUACCGUAAGAAUAAGCACCGGCUAACUACGUG